GACAGAGGUCCCGAGCGUUAGGCGGAAUCACUGGGCUUAAAGCGUGUGUAGGCGGCGGCCUAAGUACCUUGUGAAAUCCCACGGCUCACCCGUGGAACUGCUCGGUAUACUGGGUCGCUUGAGCCACUUAGGGGCUACCGGAACAAAUGGUGGAGCGGUGAAAUGCGUAGAUAUCUGGAGGAACACCGGUGGCGAAGGCGGCAUCCUGGACCGAUAUUGACGCUGAUGGCGCGAAAGCCAGGGGAGCAACGGG
rnacentral:rRNA from 1 species